GGAAGUUUCACUUAUCUACAUAAAUGUUACUAAAAGCAAGCAUUGACAAGAAAUUCAGAAGGAAAGACAUGACAACACCCUUCUAAUUCAUUGGAACAGCAUUUAGAAAAUCAGCAAUCCUCCAUUUUUUGCUAGCAGCCCAUCAAAAGCCUAAUCAGCUUAUAGUUUUGGCAGCUGAGGAUUCAGAAUCCAUCCUUAUGGAGACCUGCAACACCACCAGAAUAUUCUCACCUGGAUAUUCUCCCCAGUUUCUAUGGCAGAAGACCAGGACCCAUGAACUCUUAGGACAACAGGAUGCCCUUCUCCAAUCUCACCUCAACAGGCAUUUACAGCAGUAACAAUUGUAUUUUAUAAAUGCUGAUGUGCUUGGCCAGGACAAGCACAGUUUAAAAAAAAAAAAAAAAAAGAAUUGGUAGCAUGAGACUCCACACAAGUAAAGUUAUCAAAACCUGGAUUUAUACUGAUCAAAGUCUUGCUCUCGCACCACGUUACAGAAAAGUAGUGCAACCAAGUUUUACAAAAUGAAACACUUAAUGUUUCAUAAGCCUGCAUUAGCACAUCACCAAAUUCCCACAAGUAUUGCAAUUGCUGAAAGCAAAGACCCAGAUUUUAAAUGUUUAAACUGCUAAAAGGCAUAGGAUGAACCAUAGCUCUCAGGGUUCACCAAAUUUACCACUUAAAAAAUGUUGCACAGUACUCUUUUUUGACAUUAUUAACUUUACCCUUUUAUUCCCAGGAAUAAUUUAAUUUGUUCUUCUCCUUCUACAA